rnacentral:rRNA from 1 species
GACGAACGCUGGCGGCGUGCUUAACACAUGCAAGUCGAACGAUGAAGCCGGAGCUUGCUCUGGUGAAUUAGUGGCGAACGGGUGAGUAACACGUGAGUAACCUGCCCUUGACUCUGGGAUAACUGCGGGAAACUGUAGCUAAUACCGGAUACGACCCUCGGAGGCAUCUCCUGGGGGUGGAAAGAAUUUCGGUCAAGGAUGGAAUCGCGGCCUAUCAGCUAGUUGGUGAGGUAAAGGCUCACCAAGGCGACGACGGGUAGCCGGCCUGAGAGGGGGACCGGCCACACUGGGACUGAGACACGGCCCAGACUCCUACGGGAGGCAGCAGUGGGGAAUAUUGCACAAUGGGCGCAAGCCUGAUGCAGCAACGCCGCGUGAGGGAUGACGGCCUUCGGGUUGUAAACCUCUUUCAGCAGGGAAGAAGCGAAAGUGACGGUACCUGCAGAAGAAGCACCGGCUAACUACGUGCCAGCAGCCGCAGUAA